UACAGAGGGUGCGAGCGUUGUCCGGAAUUACUGGGCGUAAAGGGUGCGUAGGCGGUUUAUUAAGUUACUUGUGAAAUUCCUGGGCUUAACCUGGGGUGGUCGAGUGAUACUGAUAGACUAGAGUAUGGGAGAGGGCAUUGGAAUUUCCGGUGUAGCGGUGAAAUGCGUAGAUAUCGGAAGGAACACCGGUGGCGAAGGCGGAAUGCCUGGCCCAAUACUGACGCUGAGGCACGAAAGCGUGGGUAGCGAACAGG
rnacentral:rRNA from 1 species